AUUGAACGCUGGCGGCAGGCUUAACACAUGCAAGUCGAGCGGGGUGAUGGUGCUUGCACUAUCACUUAGCGGCGGACGGGUGAGUAAUGCUUAGGAAUCUGCCUAUUAGUGGGGGACAACAUCUCGAAAGGGAUGCUAAUACCGCAUACGUCCUACGGGAGAAAGCAGGGGAUCACUUGUGACCUUGCGCUAAUAGAUGAGCCUAAGUCGGGUUAGCUAGUUGGUGGGGUAAAGGCCUACCAAGGCGACGAUCUGUAGCGGGUCUGAGAGGAUGAUCCGCCACACUUGGACUGAGACACGGCCCAGACUCCUACGAGAGGCAGGAGGGGGGAAUAUUGGACAAUGGGGGUAACCCUGAUCCAGCCAUGCCGCGUGUGUGAAGAAGGCCUUAUGGUUGUAAAGCACUUUAAGCGAGGAAGAGGCUCUUUUGGUUAAUACCAAGAUGAGUGGACGUUACUCGCAGAAUAAGCACCGGCUAACUCUGUGCCAGCAGCCGCCGUAA
rnacentral:rRNA from 1 species